rnacentral:rRNA from 1 species
UGGGGGAUAUUGCACAAUGGGCGAAAGCCUGAUGCAGCGACGCCGCGUGGGGGAUGAAGGCUUUCGGGUUGUAAACCUCUUUCGCUAUCGAACAAGGCCCGCUUAGGGUGGGUUGAGGGUAGGUGGAGAAGAAGCGCCGGCUAACUACGUGCCAGCAGCCGCGGUAAUACGUAGGGCGCGCGCGUUGUCCGGAAUUAUUGGGCGUAAAGGGCUUGUAGGCGGCUUGUUGCGCCUGCUGUGAAAACGCGGGGCUUAACUUCGCGCGUGCAGUCGGUACGGGCAGGCUUGAGUGUGGUAGGGGUGACUGGAAUUCCAGGUGUAGCGUUGGAAUGCGCAGAUAUCUGGAGGAACACCGAUGGCGAAGGCAGGUCACUGGGCCAUUACUGACGCUGAGGAGCGAAAGCAUGGGUAGCGAACAGG